rnacentral:rRNA from 1 species
GACGAACGCUGGCGGCGUGCCUAAUACAUGCAAGUUGAGCGCUGAAGGUUGGUACUUGUACCAAAUGGAUGAGCAGCGAACGGGUGAGUAACGCGUGGGUAAUCUGCCUUUGAGCGGGGGACAACAUUUGGAAACGAAUGCUAAUACCGCAUAAAAACUUUAAACACAAGUUUUAAGUUUGAAAGAUGCAAUUGCAUCACUCAAAGAUGAUCCCGCGUUGUAUUAGCUAGUUGGUGAGGUAAAGGCUCACCAAGGCGAUGAUACAUAGCCGACCUGAGAGGGUGAUCGGCCACAUUGGGACUGAGACACGGCCCAAACUCCUACGGGAGGCAGCAGUAGGGAAUCUUCGGCAAUGGACGAAAGUCUGACCGAGCAACGCCGCGUGAGUGAAGAAGGUUUUCGGAUCGUAAAACUCUGUUGGUAGGGAAGAACGUUGGUGAGAGUGGAAAGCUCAUCAAGUGACGGUAACUACCCAGAAAGGGACGGCUAACUACGUG